rnacentral:rRNA from 1 species
CCUACGGGGGGCUGCAGUGAGGAAUAUUGGUCAAUGGACGAGAGUCUGAACCAGCCAAGUAGCGUGAAGGAUGACUGCCCUAGGGGUUGUAAACUUCUUUUAUAUGGGAAUAAAAUGUUCCACGUGUGGGCUUUUGUAUGUACCAUAUGAAUAAGAAUCGGCUAACUCCGUGCCAGCAGCCGCGGUAAUACGGAGGAUCCGAGCGUUAUCCGGAUUUAUUGGGUUUAAAGGGAGCGUAGGUGGAUUGUUAAGUCAGUUGUGAAAGUUUGCGGCUCAACCGUAAAAUUGCAGUUGAAACUGGCAGUCUUGAGUACAGUAGAGGUGGGCGGAAUUCGUGGUGUAGCGGUGAAAUGCUUAGAUAUCACGAAGAACUCCGAUUGCGAAGGCAGCUCACUGGACUGCAACUGACACUGAGGCUCGAAAGUGUGGGUAUCAAACAGGAUUAGAUACCCUGGUAGUC